UACAGAGGGUGCAAGCGUUAAUCGGAUUUACUGGGCGUAAAGCGUGCGUAGGUGGCUGCGUAAGUCGGAUGUGAAAUCCCCGGGCUUAACCUGGGAAUUGCAUUCGAUACUGCGCGACUAGAGAUCGGUAGAGGGCGGCGGAACUCCAGGUGUAGCGGUGAAAUGCGUAGAUAUCUGGAAGAACACCGAUGGCGAAGGCAACCGCCUGGGCCUGAUCUGACACUGAGGCACGAAAGCGUGGGGAGCAAACAGG
rnacentral:rRNA from 1 species